GAUGAACGCUGGCGGCGUGCUUAACACAUGCAAGUCGAACGGAAAGGCUCCUGCUUGCAGGGGUACUCGAGUGGCGAACGGGUGAGUAACACGUGGGUGAUCUGCCCUGCACUUCGGGAUAAGCCUGGGAAACUGGGUCUAAUACCGGAUAGGACGAUGGUUUGGAUGCCAUUGUGGAAAGUUUUUCGGUGUGGGAUGAGCUCGCGGCCUAUCAGCUUGUUGGUGGGGUAAUGGCCUACCAAGGCGUCGACGGGUAGCCGGCCUGAGAGGGUGUACGGCCACAUUGGGACUGAGAUACGGCCCAGACUCCUACGGGAGGCAGCAGUGGGGAAUAUUGCACAAUGGGCGCAAGCCUGAUGCAGCGACGCCGGGUGGGGGAUGACGGCCUUCGGGUUGUAAACUCCUUUCGCUAGGGACGAAGCGCAAGUGACGGUACCUGGAGAAGAAGCACCGGCUAACUACGUG
rnacentral:rRNA from 1 species